UAGAUGGCUUCCUUGGCCUCCCAACCAACGGUUAGACACAGCUUUGUUUUCUUUCAGUAGGCUCGGGAGCUGGUCUUCUACACUCCUGCUGCUAGGAUGCCAUGUGUUACUAGAGAGAGGUCAAAUCCUUCCUUUCUUAUAUCCUGGUUAGAAGCAAGGAAAGGAACCACACCAGAAGAUCUAUUACCAUUGCAUAGACGAAGACACCAAGCAACAGUGCAGCUAAAGAACUUGCUUGAUGAUUCACAUACAGUCAGGGCAAGACAGAGCUGGGACUCGAGGAGAUGCACAGUAAACACUUUGCAACAGGGCGCUAGAUUGCAAUUAAGAGGUGGGCAACCACCCAUGCCACCCACUAUGAUGGCCCUAUCAGAAGCCAGCUCCACAUUCCUAGACGUUGUGCUUUGAUGCCACUUGUAAAGAAACCGUACAUGAGCCAAGCUUCCAAAGAGACUUACCUCUGUGUUUUCUUCUGUCUUUUCUGAGAUCAGAGCUAGACUGGAGGCCAGCAAGAUCAAGCAAUCCUGUCUCUGCUCCCACAGACCUCCGGGGUCACAGGCGGGUUAGAGCCAAGUCUUUUGGAAGAAGAGUCAUUCCAGAUGUACCAACUCUAAGCUCCAAGAAAUGUUUGUUCUGGAACAGCAGUUUUUCACACGGGCUCUUGCUAAACUGAAAAUAGACUAUGCAGGCCAACAACAUCAGGUGCUAUAAUAGGAUGGGUACUCUGGUGGAGUGAGGUAUUGCCCAGUGAUAAUGUGCCUGCUUAGCUGACACAGGCCCUGAGUUCCACCCCAGCAUUCAAAGCGAAGCAAAACCUCAGGUCAGCGUGAUUCAGUGUCUCUUCUUUCUGCCACAGUCAGACAAGACUACCGAAAUAGCCACAGGUUCCUGAUUGGUGUUCCUGACUCUUGACGGCAGGUGCCCCAGAUACCUGCAGUACUAAGAAACAAUGAGAAGAGCAGGAGACAGAUCUGCAGAAGUAGGAUUGGGCCAAAGUACGGAAACCCUCAAGUGUGAGGUGUGCAUGCCAAAAUGGUGGAAAAUAUGGACCCUGAUAGAGGGUACACAUCAAAUCCUUCUUCCCAUGAUGCAAGUCUUCACAGAAGACAAAACCAAUGCAUGGAGCAGGCAAACGUCAAGGAACAGAAAUUGGUAUACUCGUAGAGCAAUGCCUUUGAAAUCUUAUGGGGAAAUUACACUCCAAAGUAGAAUCUUAUCCCAGCUAAGAAGGCCUCCUGAUGGGUCAGCAACAACUUUUCAGGCUUUAGGCAAGUUCUCGGAGCCCAUCAAUCUGCCAAUUAGAAGAAAAGGCAAAAGGACCAGCAGGAGUCACGGCUGCACGGAAACAGCUACCAUCCCAUAAAAUUAUUGCCUUUACCAAAUUG
rnacentral:lncRNA from 1 species